GGAGCCUGUGCCCGGCCCCGUGUCACAGGGGCCACCUUCCAGCCACAGGAUUAUGAUCGACACCUCUCAAAAAGCCAUGCUAUGAAUAGCUACAGUACCCUGGGAGGGCCUGGGGGGACCAGCGUGCUAGGAUCGGAUCCAGCUGGAAACCCCUCAAGCGCCUGGAGAAGCGGCCCCGAUUCUAGAAGUCCACGAGGAGG